rnacentral:lncRNA from 1 species
UCAGAACUCAGAAAUUCCCCAAAACAUAAAUACUUCUCUCUUUCUCUUACCAAAACGGCGAAAAUGGCGGAUUCUGAUUUUUGUCUCUUUUUUUCUUUGAUGAAGAUUCUCUUGAUCAAUUCAUGGCUAUCGAAACUGAUUCUGCCAUAAAAAUCUGGACAGGCAAGCAUGGAAGAAGAUCCGUUGAUCUGUGUUGAUGUCAUCAAGAUUCCACUGCUCUACUGUGCAACUCUUAAGCUGCAAAAUAUGCUAACUUGAAACCUCUUUGCUCUCAAAAGAGGCACAAGCAGCCAGAUGAAGAACAGCCCGACUGCGGAUGACCCUGCAAAUAGAAGGAAUGUUCCCGAUGACCCGACUGCGUUUGUCAAUGUCAGGAACGUCUCACUCACUACGAGAUUUGACAUCCAGUUUGAGACUGCAGCGAUUCCUCCCGCGAGCCCUCUGUAGCGAAGAGGAUAGAUCUCUGAGUUGACAAUCCAUGGAACUGUGCCCAUACCGGGCGCGUACACAAUGAUGUAGAGGCCAAGGAAGACAAUGGCCAGGUACCCGAACUUGCUGGGGCAUCCGUCUUUGAAGAAGGUUCUGCCUUUCGAGUGGCACAAUGCCUUCAUAUCAGCAGACUGAACAAUGCAUGCUCCAGUUGGAGGGAGGAGAACGGGAGGCUGUGAAUGGGGCAAAUGCGGGACAAGUAGCAUUUUUUGCGAAGUUUCUGGAGUCUCUCUUAUCGAUCUUUGGAGCGUGGUUUGAGGCUUCAUUGAAAACGGCAGCCAAAAUGACAAGGCAAGUUAUGAUCCCGAACAUGGAAAUGAUCAUAAGCUUGCGCCGACCAUAACGGUCUACAAACAUCAUGCUUACUACAGACCCCACUGCAUUGAGACCGGAGGUUAUGAGAGCAAGAGCCAUGGCUGUCUUGUUGGAUGCGUAACCUGCAAACUGCAGAAUAGUAGGACUGUAGUACAUGACUGUGUUGAUUCCCACAAACUGCUGGGCGACCUGGACGGUGAUACCUGCGGCCAGACCGUGGCGGACAACUGGAUUCGAGAGAGCGCCUCUGAGCUUAUCAGAGAAGGUAUGGCCGAUAAUAUCCUCGUCAGCCGUCUCUGCCCGGACAGACUCCUUGAGUGCAGCUAUCUCCGCUUCAACCAUCUCUGCCGGGUAUAUUCUCUCGAGGAUGUCUCUUGACUCGGCUUUCCUAUCAUUUCUAUAGAGCCACCGUGGAGACUCUGGCAGCGUUAGCAUGAGGCAGAACUGAAUGAUCGCUGGAAUCGCCGAGACUCCCAACAUCCACCUCCAUGUACCCGGUGUCUGUGUAAGUGAUCAGUAAGUUAGAGACUUUUCAAAUCUUAAAAAAGAAAAGAAAAUAAACAUAUUUGUGAGUUAGUUUGGUUGGUUACAUGGACGAAGGCAAGGUUGAUGAGAUAAGAUAGAAACUGUCCUCCGGUGAUGAGAAGUCCGUUGGUGCUGACCAAGGCGCCUCUGAUUCUCGCAGGAGACAUCUCAGAGAUGUAAAGCGGUGAGGUCAUAGAAGCCAUACCAACCCCAAAACCCACCAAGAGUCUGCCGAGGAUGAUGACCCACGGCGCAUGAGCAAUCACCAUCACCAGGGCACCCAGCAGGAAGAGCACAUCCGCUAUAAGAACAGACAUCCUCCUACCAAACUUAUCGUUGUACCAUCCUCCUAUAGCUGCUCCAACAAUGGCUCCAGCCACGGUCAUGCUCACAAUGAUCUCCUGAAGCCAUGUCUUGUUGUCUACCUCACCAAACUCCUCUUUUAUAUAGAGAAGAGCCCCUGCGAUGACUCCCGUGUUGUAUCCGAAGAGGAGUCCUCCAAUACCGGCAGAGAGAGCCAGCCGCAUAAUGUAAGGUGUCUCCCAUGUCGUCGUCCACACCUCUGUGAUAUUUAUCUGCUCUGAUUUCGAUGCUUCUUCCACCAUCUCUCUAACUGAAGUGGUUUUCUCGAAACCUUACGCUGAUCGAUAAAUGAUCGAGAAAUGUUUGUAAGUCCAGAAAAGAUGUCCUGAAGAAAGUUACAAGCAUUGAAACUUGAAAGAGUAUAUUUAUAGGAGCAUAAUGGAUUGAGAAAAAAAAGAAACGCCAAGAAUAGGAGAGUUCGAAGACAACAAAUCAGGCUCAAUAUCCAGUUUUUAAUGAUUAGCUAGAGUGACAGUUUGCAAAAAAGUGUCUGUUAUUGACUUGAAAAAAUCUGUUAUGAGUGUUUCCUCUGCAUUCAACUGUUCAAAACUUUAUCUCCUUAGUUGCUGUUUUGUACAACUGUAACCAUACUAUUUUUGGAACAUAACCUGGUUGCUCCCAAAAAAAAGAAAUCAUG